rnacentral:rRNA from 1 species
ACAAUAAUCUGAAGUGUCAUUAAACGAAUGUUUGUUAGUAACGACAAUCAAUAAGAAUAUAGAAAAAAUAAAUCUAUACUAAUUUAUAGUAUAGAAAAGUAUAUAAAGAAACUAUUAGGGAUACCUAGCUAUAUAUUAAAGAGAGUAUUAAUUUAAAUUGUGUUUUGUAGAGAAAAAUUAACACAUGUACUCAAGGAGAAAUCCAAUAAUAAACGAAGUGAAUUGAAAUAUCUUAGUAACUUUAGGAAAAUAAAUCAAACGAGAUUCUAUGAGUAGUGUGAAUGAAAGUAGAAAAGCCUAUAUAAAAGUCUAAAAGUGUAAUAACAAAUAUUAUAAUAACUAAAGACAAAGAUUAACGAUAGAAAUAUCAAUUAUCUGAUAUAUUAAAUAAGUAAAAUGGGCUAUAACCUGUUUGAACAUAAAGGGGAACCUUCCUCUAAGGCUAAAUAUAAUAUAUAAGCGACAGCGUAUAGUACUGUGAAGGAAAGGUUUGAAAUAGUAGUUUUAUAAGCAGCUCGAAAAAAGUUUAAAUAAAAAAUAAGAGCGUACCUUUUGCAUAAUGGGUCAGCAAGUUAAUGUUAGAUGCGAGCAUGUGCAGGCUUCUUGCGAAGCAUAAGAGCAUGUGCCUAGAUAAACCAAUUAUGAAAUAAUGAAUUAGUAUCUAAAAUUAGACCCGAAGCCUGGUGAUCUUACUACAGUCAGGGUUAUAAAAGCCCGAACGGGUUAUCGUUGUAAAGAUAUCCGAUGAACUGUGGUAAGUAAGUGAAAGACAACACUGACUAGGAUAGCUGGUUUUCUGCGAAACCUAUAUAAGUAGGUAAUUCAAGUCACAUCAUAGCAGGUACAGAACUGUGAUCUCAGGCAACUUUUAUUUAACAUAUUUCUUUUGAGGUAUGUUAGAUAGUUUUGCAUAUAUCGGGGGAUCGUGAAGAUUUUAUCGGUGAGUAUUCGCACUCGGAAGGGCAAUGAUGAUUUUUGAAUAAUCGGACAUAGUACGAUAAGGUUGUAUGUCUAAAGGGAAACAGCCCAGAACAAGAGUUAAGGUUCCAAAAUUAUUGUUAAGUGAAACUAAGGAGGUUUCUAUCAAAUACGACUAGGAAAUAGGCUUAGAAGCGGUCAUUUUUUGAAGAUCUCGUAACAGAGCACUGGUUUAGUAAUUAAAUUUUAAUUACAUUGAUUUUUGCACCGAAAAUUUAACGGAUCUAAACAAUAUACCGACACCUUGUCCAUAUUUAUUAAUAAUUUAUAUUAUUAUAUCUGAUGGGGUAGCAGAACGUUGGGUAAAUCUCAGACUUAUUGUUUUUAAUAAUAAAAAAAUAGAUAACCCAAGUGAGAAUGCUGACAUGAGUAACGAAAAAGGGAUAAUACCCUCGCCUAAAGCUUAUGGUUUUAUUAAAGUAACGGCCUCUAAGUUUAUAAACCUAAAGGAUUAAACGAUGAGCAAAUCUUGUCUGCAAAGUAACAACUUUCUUUUUUAAGUGAAGAAAGUUCUGGAAAAACAGCAAAAAUCUUUAACACUGCUUCUUUGAGUAGCAAUGUGAAAAGAUGACGAAAUAACCGUACCUAGAAACUACCCCAAGUAAGCAAGUAGAGAAUACGAAGGCGUUUGAGUGAACAAUCGUUAAGGAACUCGGCAAACUAACUACCGUAACUUCGGGAUAAGGAGAGCCAUUCUUCCUGAUUAAUAUCAGGUAAAGAAGAGGAAGCAUGGAAUAGUGUUGUACGACUGUUUAAUUAAAACAAAGCACUCUGCAAUAAGAUAAUAAAUCAAAGUAUUGAGUGUGAUUUCUGCCCGAUGUCGGCUGGUUAACGAAUUUUCUAAGUCUACUAAUAUAAGCUUGGUUAUGAAGGAAACCCCGAUCAAUGGCGGCCUUAUCGAUAAGGGUCCUAAGGUAGCGGAAUACCCUGGCCGUUAAAUGCGGUCUUGCAUGAAUGAUUUAACGAUACAACAGCUGUCUCAACGAUUGGCUCAGUGAAAUUGGAAUAACUGUGCAGAUACAGUUUACCUCUAGUUAGACGAGAAGACCCUAUGCAGCUUUACUGUUGCUAGUUAUUCAAUAUGAUUUAAUAUAUUUUAGUGUAUAAGGUAGUUUGUUGACAAAAUUGAAACACCUUUAUAUUAUUUGUCAUAUUGUUAUAGUAUAGGCAUGUUAAGUUUUACUUAACUUGCUGGGUACUAUAGAACCUACCGGAAGAAUGGCUAGGAGGCAGUUUAUGCGGGGCACAGAUCCCAUAAAAAGUACCUGGGUGUAUCCAAAGUUAAUUUUGUAAAAUUAAUUUUAAAUUUUUGAAGAAAAUUAAAACGAAUAUAUAUCUUCUAAUGCUUAGCAGGUGAAGCUAUGUAUUCUAUAUUUUUAGUAUGUUAUUUGGUAUAGCUUUCUUUUUAGAGAUGCUAUAACAAAUCCAGCUAUAUAUCUAUUAAG